AACAAACACUUUUCUGAAAACCACAUCAAAAUCGGUUCAGCUAAACGCGAGAUAAUCGCGGACAAAUACACCGUGUAACAUGAGGAAACCGAAAUAUUUUAAACCGAAUAAUUUUAACUGCGUAUUCCUGAUCAUAUUUAGAGACAAAAAUGUCCUAUAAACUUUUUUGAAAUUCGCCUAGUUUCAGAGAUAAUAUUAAUUAAAAAAAAACAAGUUUUUAUUGUUACACAGUGUAAAAGACCUUUUUGAUGGUGAUGUUGCUGCUAUGGGACGUAGUCUAAAAUAUCCUUCUUGAUAGAUAUCAAAAAGUGACAAGUAACGCUUUGCAAAAAGUAGGUUUUACGAAAAAAAAAUGUAAAAAUCAAUUUUAAGUGAAAAGUUUACCAAUCAACAUCAAAUAACAUUUAUUUUUAUGUACAUGUACAUUCAAGAAAUUGAAAAAACAAAACAACAACAAAAAUUUUUUUUUUGGUGAAGUAUACCUAAACUCAUCUUACAUUUUUUCUUUCUUUUGACCUCAGAAAUGCGUGGUUAAAGCUAUUCGGUUUCCUCAUAUUACACCGUGUAUACUUACAAACAUUCCGUGUAGUUUUGGACAUAUUAUAAAAGUUAUUCAACGAUUAAUGCAGGUGGCUGGUAAUAGGGCACUUUACCCUAUGAUAAUAAAUCUUCCUCGCGCUAUCCCAGCUUUUUGCCACAGCUCAUGGGAGCCUGGGAACUGCUUGGCAACUAAUCCCGGGAAUUGGCGUAGGCACUAGUUUUUACAGAAGCGACUGCCAUCUGACCUUCUAACCCAGAGGGGAAACUAGGAAACUUGUUGGAAUUAGUCCGGUUUCCUCACCAUGUUUUCCUCUUCACCGAAAAGCGAUUGGUAAAUAUCAAAUGAUACCUAUUUCGUACAUAAAUUCUUUUCAACUUUACCGUAUGAUAAGCUCCAAAAAGAAAUUAGAAAACUAAGGGAUUCAGAUAGGUCAUUCAUUGGCUCCAGGGAACCCCUUAAUGUGAAUUACAGCAUCAAAGUUGGAAGCAACAAAACUUACGAUGUUAUUUAUAUGUACCAAUGUCAGCAAUUAUUGGUAAAAUUGUGUACCUAAUUAUUAAUUUCGAAAAAUAAACUAUAAAUCUUCAAAUAUGAAUUCAUAUCCGUUAGCACUCGCGGAUUGGACGAAUUUUGUGCGGCACUAGCACACACCCAAUCACGGAUCAAUAUUAUAACGCGCGCCAAUGGCGCGCGAGCUACAUGGAUCACGCGAUCGCUAGUCAGGCGCACCCCCCCCGUAGCUGCGCUGUGCGCUGCGCAGUUCAUGAGUUCACAUCAAAAUGGCGCUCGCUCACUCGCUGUGCGUAGAACGUAGUACUUGUGUAAACGUGUAAAUAAAUUGGAGAUAGCAUACAAGAAAACAGAAAGGGUUCGCGGUUCACCUUUUUUGUAACGGUUUCCUCGGCGUCCUUUACAAAGUCCAGUUGAUAUCGUGUCCUGUCCACGUCCAGGGUGGAUCAGACCUGAUCUACAAAAUCUUGGAGCAGCCGCUUUCGUCGUAUGCCAUUAAAAAAAUUAAAACAUGCCCGUUAUUAAAAUUUGGUCAGUAGACCAAACAAUCAAGAAAGCUGUUCCAAUAAUGGACCCAACUUUAAAAAAUAUCAUUGAAAAAGGUGAGUAAAUCUAAAUUAAUUUGACUUUUCGUAAUGAAAUAUUUUUUGUGUAAUUGUAGAAUGUAGUGUAUUGUAGAAUAGACUAUAAUUGGAUACCUACUGUUAAGCAUUAAUGUGCUGACUCAAACCACAUUUAUUUUGCAGUAUGAUAUCAAUUUAAAAAUUUGACGCUUGAAGUUGACAAGAUAGAGCUGAUGCUGAACCCUGGCUGUACCUAGUGGAACUCAGGUUUGGUGCAACAUAGGCCCACGCUAUUUUGAUCAUCCGUCACAUAGAGGGAGAGCAAUACCCAAGAUAUAAUUCAUAAUCCAUUUUCUUCCAGAUGAGGUACCAUCCUAAAUAUAGUAGUUCCAUUUACUAAUCUUAUUAACUUUUUCUUUUCCAGGAACCAUUAACCAGGGUUCAAGUUGCAGAGCUAUCCGAAAUAGCUGCGCCUAACAUUGUAUUUUUAGAUAAUGAAAAUAUAAUUAUAUUACUUGCUGGUAGAAAAAACGAUUGUUAGCGAAACAGAUUCUGCCUACGUCGUUACAACUAUUGAUGGCGGCUUACUGCAACUUGAAUAUGGAAUAUCCAGUGGACUGUCAAAACACAUUAGAAUUUAUACAAAGGUAUAUUUUUAUUAAAAUAAAUCCUAAAGAAGGAAGUCAUAAGUAAUAGUUUUUGAUAUUUAAAAAGCGUUUUUCAAUUAAAAGACAUGUCAAGAUCGCUUAACUUCUUGCAAGUUCUUUCUAAUGCUAAAAAAACUAACUAUAAUUAAUGUCAGUAACAAACAUUUUCAGACAAUUCGUUACUUGAAAUGGUAUAGGUUUCACGCAUUAGAUUCACAUAGGCCUUAUUAACCGAAACUUUUAUAAGACUAAUUCAUAAGAAGUACUUAUGUACAUAAGAUAUAAUUUAUAGUGUCGUAUAUGUCUUCUACUUUUUGUACUCUGUCACAGAAUAAAUAAUAAUAAUAUGCACGUAGACGUGUAUAUACGCGUGUGCUCUAUAAUUUGAGUGUGUGAAAUUCAAUAAAUUUAUUUCUUUGUAA